CAGUAGGCACGAGAAAACGUGGUUUUUAUUUCGAACAAAAGAUAAAACGAGAAAAACAAUAUAAUAACGGGGGGGAUAGAAAAAAAAAAAAGAACAAAAAAAAGGCUGUGCGUGAAACUAACAUAAAUCGUCGUUUUCAAAAAGUUCGAAAAUCGUUACACGGUAUCGGAGCGAUACGCGCCCUUUGAAGUGAAUAAGAAUUAAUAAACAGUGUUGAUAAUUGUCGACGACAUUGUUUCGUAUUGUAAUAUUAGAUUAGACGGUAAAUAUAACUAAAUUUCAGUAUUAUAAUAAUAAUAAUAAUAAUAAUAAUAAUAUGCUGUUAUCUGCGCAUUUCUUUUGCAUUAUUGUUUUCGCAGUACAUUUCUGCGGAAAAUGUUAUCGUUUAUUUUUUUAAGAAUAAAAAAAAAAAAAAAAAAAAAA